rnacentral:tRNA from 1 species
GGGUGCGUAGUUCAGUGGUAGAACGCGGUCCUUAUAAGACCGAAGUCGAAGGUUCGAUCCCUUCCGCACCCA